rnacentral:rRNA from 1 species
GCUUAACGCGAAGAACCUUACCACCUUUUGACACGCCUGGACCGCGUGAGAGAUCACGCUUUCCCUUCGGGGACUAGGACACAGGUGCUGCAUGGCUGUCGUCAGCUCGUGUCGUGAGAUGUUGGGUUAAGUCCCGCAACGAGCGCAACCCUCGCGAUUAGUUGCCAUCAUUUAGUUGGGCACUCUAAUCGGACUGCCGGAGUUAAUCCGGAGGAAGGCGGGGAUGACGUCAAGUCCUCAUGGCCCUUACAGGGUGGGCUACACACGUGCUACAAUGGCGACUACAGAGGGCUGCAACCCAGCGAUGGUGAGCCAAUCCCUAAAAAGUCGUCUCAGUUCGGAUUGUUCUCUGCAACUCGAGAGCAUGAAGUUGGAAUCGCUAGUAAUCGCGGAUCAGCAUGCCGCGGUGAAUACGCUCCCGGGUCUUGUACACACCGGGUCUUGUACACACCGGGGUCUUGGUACACACCGGG